GAAGAGGGGCUGGCUCUCAGUCCCCGCCUCGCGGGGGGUGCCUCCCCCCCUGCGAUGGGGGUCCUAAGAGCCAGAAGGCUUAGAGGGGCUGGCUCUGAGCCCACGCCUCGCGAGGUGCCUCCCCACCUUGCGAUCGGGGUUCCAAGAGCCAGGGGGAAGAGGGGCUGGCUCUCUUUGUGGAUGAUUCUUUUUCCAUUCUCAGGCAGUUUUCUUUUUUCUUUCUUUCUUUUUUUUUUUGAGACUGAGUCUUGUUCUGUUGCCCAUGCUUUGCUGGAUCUCAGGUGACUGCAACCACUGCCUCCCAGGUUCAAGAGAUUCUCCUGCCUCAGCCUCCUGAGUAGCUGCGACUAGAGGCGUGUGUCACCACACCCAGCUAAUUUUUGUAUUCUUAGUAGAGAUGGGGUUUCACCAUGUUUGCCAGGAUGGUCUCUAUCUCCUGACCUUGUGAUCCACCCACCUCAGCCUCCCAACGUGCUGGGAUUGCAGGUGCGAGCCACCGGGUCCAGCCUUUCAGGCGAUUUUCAUACCUGCAUACUCUGAUCACUACUCUGUUAAACAGUCAAGGAGGCUAAGUAUUAUCUUCAGAUUUCCAGAGCUCUGUCUCUGUACAGCCCUCUCCUCCUCAAUGUUCUGCCCUAUGAAUUCUAGCCACAUUGGCCUUCCCAGACUCACAGUUCUGUCCUCUCAACUCAGGAAGAUCUCUGAGCUCCAUCUGCAUUCUUUCUUCCUGUGCUGUGGCCUGGAAAGUUUUCUAAGGUGUUUGGGAGGUCAAUUGUGGGGCUAGCCUCAUUGGUUUCUCAUUUCUUGAGGAUCACUGCCUUUUGAUGCUUGAUUCCAGUGAUUGAUUCCCUUUGUUGCUUGAGGGCCAUAGUUUCAUAUAUUUUGUCCAGUAUUUUUGUUGUUUUAGGUCAGAAAGGAAUUUUGGUCUCUGUUACUCCAUCUUGGCCAGAAGUGUAAGACCUAAGCAUUUACACAUCAAAAUACUGCACACGUAAUUUUAGUUUAAGCUACUUUUUAAAAAAUCUCCUUCAUUUUCCAUUUAGCAUUCUAUUUAGGGUAUUACAUUGGUUUUUUUGAAAUUCUGUUAUUGGCAGUUUCUAUUGCCUAUCAAUCCCAUUUAAAGAUAGUGCAUAGGGUAUUCUAAAAUAGCUGUUAAGCAGAGAGAAAAUUGGGCCUGAUAGGGUGAGAAUCACAGCUCUAAUACCUAGAGUGACCUUAUAAUGUAUUGUCCAAAGGAGAUAUUUUUGACAGUGAAAGAGGGUGUUGUUAGUAAUUAUAUCAGGACCAUGGCCUAAACCAGGACUAUCCCAGGCAGCCUGGGACAUAUUUGUACCCCAUCUCUAUUUAAUGCCUUUAUACAAUUCUUUACUUAAUUCUACCAGCCUUUAUUGAGCCUGCUUUCUUUGUCUAGCUGAAUGCCACGUGCUGACAUCACUAAGAUCAAUACAGCAAACUCUGAAAGAUGGACAGAGAGACAGGAGAUCGUCCUUUAUAAUUCAGUGUGAUCUGUGCUGCAAUAGAGUUUUGGAAGCUAGAAGUUCAAAAUGAGGUGUUGGCAGCACCAUGCUCUCUCUGAAGAUGCUAGGAAGAAUCUGCUCCAUGCCUUUCCAUUCGCUUCUGGGGUUUCCUGCAAGCCCUGACAUUCCUUGGCUUGUAGAUGCAUCACCCCAGUUUCUGCCCCCAUCAUCACAUGGCCUCCUCUCUGCGUGUGCCUCUGCGUUCCCUCUAUUCUUCUUCUAAGGACACCGACACCAGUCAUAGUGGAUUAAGGAUCCACUCCUAACUAAUUACAUCUGCAACAACCGUAUUUCCAAAUAAAGUCACAUUCUAAGAUUCCUAGGGAGAACAUGAAUUUUUGGGGGUGUGUGGAUACUGUUCAACCUGGGACAUGGAGUAAAUAAAUGGCAAGGAAGAUUACAGAUGACUUUAAGCUAAAGAGGGAGAUAGGGUUAAAUGUAGGACUUUUUUUUUUUUCCAGGACGGGAGAGGUUUAAACAUGUUACUACAUUGAAUAAAUGAAAUAA
rnacentral:lncRNA from 1 species